rnacentral:rRNA from 1 species
GAUGAACGCUGGCGGCGUGCCUAAUACAUGCAAGUCGAGCGAACAGACGAGGAGCUUGCUCCUUUGACGUUAGCGGCGGACGGGUGAGUAACACGUGGGUAACCUACCUAUAAGACUGGGAUAACUUCGGGAAACCGGAGCUAAUACCGGAUAAUAUUUCGAACCGCAUGGUUCGAUAGUGAAAGAUGGCUUUGCUAUCACUUAUAGAUGGACCUGCGCCGUAUUAGCUAGUUGGUAAGGUAACGGCUUACCAAGGCAACGAUACGUAGCCGACCUGAGAGGGGGAUCGGCCACACUGGAACUGAGACACGGUCCAGACUCCUACGGGAGGCAGCAGUAGGGAAUCUUCCGCAAUGGGCGAAAGCCUGACGGAGCAACGCCGCGUGAGUGAUGAAGGUCUUCGGAUCGUAAAACUCUGUUAUUAGGGAAGAACAAACGUGUAAGUAACUGUGCACGUCUUGACGGUACCUAAUCAGAAAGCCACGGCUAACUACGUG